rnacentral:lncRNA from 1 species
ACCACUCCCAGGUUUCUUCACUUCCUGGGAUGUUCCCACCCCAGGAACAUCACUGUCCAUGAUGGCAGUCUGCCCAGCAAUCUGGCCUGUUCCCAAGACUGGUGUUUCACUCCUCGGUCGCACCCGUAACCGAACUUGGUGAUCUCCUGCAACUGCUCUACCUCUGGUUUCUCCUCACAUACUACCCACAGCAACCUCAAACAAUGAGGUUUUGUACCAUUAUAGAGUCCUCUUAUUGGAAUGGAUUAGAGGGGAAGGAAGAAACUUAUGAUUUUGUUGUAAGGAUUACAAAUACACCUACCUGAUUAAUUGGGGGCCGGGGAGGAUGGUCCUAAUGUGGUGACUUGGGUCAAACUUUCCAGUGAGUCAGACAUGUAUUUGAGAAGUGCUGCAUCUCAGACAGCUCAGAUGCAAGUGAACGAGCUACACUUUGAGAAAUGGACUCUAGAUAUCAUGAAGACGUUGAUGACCAAGAUGCAUG